GGCUCCAUAGCUCAGUUGGUUAGAGCGUAGCACUGUUAUCUCUCUUACCAGACAGUAGUACUCUUCCGCCUCAGGCUGGCUGCGACCCCGCUCGGGUCAGCAGCUGGCGCAGGCGAGCUACUCGAGAGAUGCUGAGGUCGGCGGUUCGAGCCCGCCUGGGGUCG
rnacentral:tRNA from 1 species